UCCCAUUCCGAACACGGAAGUUAAGCUCUUCAGCGCCAAUGGUACUGCACGGGCAGCUGUGUGGGAGAGUAGGUCGCCGCCGAGA
rfam:Desulfobulbaceae bacterium A2 Ga0073110_1319, whole genome shotgun sequence.